rnacentral:misc_RNA from 1 species
GAUGAAGAACGUAGCGAAAUGCGAUAAGUAGUGUGAAUUGCAGAAUUCAGUGAAUCAUCGAAUCUUUGAAUGCACAUUGCGCCCCAUGGUAUUCCGUGGGGCAUGCCUGUUCGAGCGUCAUUUACCCCCUCAAGCUCCGCUUGGUGUUGGGCGUCUGUCCCGCUUCGCGCGCGGACUCGCCCCAAAGGUAUUGGCAGCGGUCGUGCCAGCUUCUCGCGCAGCACAUUGCGCUUCUCGAGGCACCGGUGGGCCCGCGUCCAUCAAGCUCACCCCCCCAGUUUGACCUCGGAUCAGGUAGGGAUACCCGCUGAACUUAAGCAUAUCAAUAAGCGGAGGA